rnacentral:piRNA from 1 species
UGGGCAUCCCAGUGAUUUGUUAUGUACCAA